rfam:Oryza sativa Indica Group cultivar 93-11 Ctg035471, whole genome shotgun sequence.
AUGCCAUGGUGAGGACAAGUCAUGAUGUACUCCUGGAGCCUCUCCCAUGCCUCCGGAAUUGACUAGUUGUUGGCUUUGUUGGAAGCUUGAAAUCCUUCCAUGAAGGGU